rnacentral:tRNA from 1 species
GGGUUAGUGGCGCAGUAUGGAUAGCGCAACGGACUUCUAAUCCGUAGGUCGCAGGUUCAAAUCCUGCCUAAUCCGCCA